rnacentral:rRNA from 1 species
GACGGGGGGGGCAAGUGUUCUUCGGAAUGACUGGGCGUAAAGGGCACGUAGGCGGUGAAUCGGGUUGAAAGUGAAAGUCGCCAAAAAGUGGCGGAAUGCUCUCGAAACCAAUUCACUUGAGUGAGACAGAGGAGAGUGGAAUUUCGUGUGUAGGGGUGAAAUCCGUAAAUAUACGAAGGAACGCCAAAAGCGAAGGCAGCUCUCUGGGUCCCUACCGAC